GUAAGAUUGGCCCAAAGGUCAACUGAUCUGUUUCGCAGCGUCAACCAACUUACUUCAUUAUAAUCGGCAUGACUAUGAAUUCAUAGCCACACUGCUAUUAUGAAUGAAUUUGAUUUUCUCUGCGAGUUAAAUCUUCCGCUUUCAAGUGAGUGACUUCGAAAGGUGUUACAAUUUACUUAGUAUUACACGUAGAUUGCUUUUUUUUAAAUUUUAAAGGUAGGUGAGCGUUUCAAUCACUAUAUUGCUUGGUUCCUUACUAACUCCAUUAUUUCUCAGAGCCAGGUAGUAGACUACUAAAUCUACUGUUGUGAGGGGGUCCAACCUGCCGUGAUGGAUCGUAUCGGAUGCAGCCAUAACCACUAAUCAUGUUUGUUCAAUUGGAAAAAGUGAUGGUACCAAAAAUAAGGACGUCGUGGGACCUCAAAUAGUUAGCAGUCCUAAUCUAGGAAGCCCGAAUUAAUAAUGCAAAAGUAAUGGUAACGAAGUCUGAUGCGGUGUCUUUAAUGAGUAACAGUCCUCCAUAGGAGAGAUAGAAUUAAUAAGGCUAAAGG